AUAUAUGCAUGCAUGUAUCUACACAUGCAUACUCUUACACACGACUAAGUAUGUCACAAUUAGUCUGACUGAUAAAUAUUCACGAGUUGCUCUUUGAUUGAAAUUUCAACUGAAACCAGAAAAGCUGCGAAUCGCAUUGGAAUUCGCGUUAAAUGCCCGACAUGACAGAUAAUUGAAAAUGCUGUCAUUCAAAUGCAAUGAAAGAUUAACAACCCUAAUUAACCGCCCUAAAAACCGAGUUCUUUGUGUUGCCAACUAAAAAUCGAUGUACAUACGUAUGUAUGUACAUAUGGAUAUGGGAAUAUUCCUACCAUACUAUUUCGCUCAGUAUUUUCGGGUUUUGCUUCUCAGUUUGCUCUUUAUUUGCCUUAGCGCUGCAUUGUUUGUUCUAAUUAAAUCUUAUCUAAACAAUUUUAAGCACAAAUUGUUUCAAUGGCAAUAAAAAGUAGAAAAAAUCACAAAAGCUCGGCGAGAGCACACGGCAAAGUCGAGGGCAAUGUUCUAAAGCAAAGGCUAUAUAAUAAGCGCACCUCGAUAGAUUUUCCCAUACACACUAUACAUACAUAUAUUGUACAUUUGGUUACAUAAAAAAAAAACAAACUGCAAGAUAAGGGAAGGGGAGAAUCCGAGGGGCACACAAAAAUGUGAGAAUCAAAAUCAAUAACUCAAUAGGCAUUCGAAAAGGAAAACAGAAAUAAGCGCAAAGCGAAACAGAUUCGUUCAAUAAAUAAUGCGUAUACGCUUCUAUAUAUGUAUGUUUGUACACAUGCAUAAUGUGAUAUACAUAUUUACAUAUACAUACAUACAUAUACAUACAUACAUUUACAGGGAAACAAACGGGUUGUGUUUAACCCACAGCCAAAAGGCAAUCGAAGGCUAUCCUGACUUCUGGCUUCUCAGUCUUGGCUUUUGCUUUUUCGAAUACUGACUAUGACAGUCAGCCGAUAAAGAUGAUCGGCCUAAGAGUCGGUCAAAUAAUGUCGGUUGGAAGGGGUGUACCCCGAGUCGAGUUGAGUCACCAGCCACUACAUGCCCCAUGCUCCAAACAUGCGCUCAUCCCCAGAAUCGUAAUUUGUGCCUCAUUUAUACACACAAUUUCAAUGACAAAUCGAUUGAGGUGCUCAGUUUGCCGAUUUCUGGUUUAUAUUUAUAAAACCGAUUGGUAAUCUACGCGGAAUGGCAAGUACAUACAUAUAUACAUACGUUUAGAAGGAAACACAAAAUCGCAAAUAGCGCUAAUCAAGUUGGAAUUGCAACAAACCCCAUAAUUGAAUAAGAUUUGUACAUACAUAUAUUUUACAAACUUAUAUUUAUGUUUUUCUAAGCCUUUUUGGUAGUACCUUGCUACCUUGCUCGAAAUACAUAUAUGGGGAAUGUGGCUCCGAGAAUACACAAUCUCUGGUGUAUUCCCCACUUUUUCAGCUGCUUCCUCUGCAUUCGUUAUCUUUCUCUUUGUGUACAUAAUAUACUUGCUUUCACAUACAUAUGUAUGUACAUACAUACAUGUUUGUAUAUGUACGUAACACAUUUUCCCGUUGAUAAGAAUAAUGAAGUUAACUCAGAGUCAUUCCGUUUCCGAUUCAAUCCGCAGUUCGAUUCUUCGCUUUUUCAUCACUUAAUUCGCGCUUUUUUAUGAAAUUCAAUUUUUAUCAAUUUGUACAAAUAAAUGUCCUAUGUCCUGAAUGCCUAGCUUAAGCGAUGAUUUUAUAAUGUUUUUCAAGAGCGAUGAAUUAUGAAACUGCAGGGAUAGUAUAGGAUGUAUGUAUGUAUGUACCUAUGAAUGUAUUAUGCCCCAUCUUUUCGAUACUCAUUUAUUUUGAUCUCGCUCUUUUCUCUGCCCUCUUGAAUACCUCUAAAAAUAAACUAAUUUCCCCUGCAGUUUCGUUUUAAUUUUAUUUUUUUAGUCCUAAACAAUUCCAUUCUGUUGAUAAUUGAAAUUUUUGUCAAGAUUUCUCACCUAUGAAUGUACACAUCAUGGGUUUUGGAUGUAUUCAUGAAUGCUAGAAAAAAAACAAAACGGGGAAUAUUAUUCAUUCCUACAGAUGCGGUAAUGUUUCUGUUCUUGCUCCCUUGCCUUUUUUUAUAAUUUUUUUUGUUGGCAAUUUUCAGUUUGUUUUGCUUUGCCGGGUAUAUUUAUACAUUUGUGAUAAACAAAAUAUGUAUAUUUCACGUCGACAAUGUCGGUUACCUCAUAUUUGACUCGGCCAGCAAAUAAGAAGCGCAUUUAACAAUAUGCCACGCCCCUCGCCCGUCGUCUGGCCCAAACGCCCAAUCCCAAUAAUAUCGGUAACUUAUGUUUAACUUUGGAACAACACAAGUCAAUUUAGAAUUAAUUUUCGACAUUUAUUUAUUGAACUUUGACAUUGUAAAGUUUUCACUGAGGAUUUGAUAGGGUAUUCAACUUUUGGUCUUUUGCUUUCCGUCCGUCAUUCGUGAGUUUUUAUUUUGUGCGAAUUUUCUGUUCUGUCGUCUUUUAUUAUUAUUACUACAGUUUUAUAUAUUUUUUUGUGUGAACCGUACUCUGCCGACGUCGCUGCCACUGCCAGCGCUGUCGCUUUGACGAUUUGCGCUUUGCGUUGCGCUUACUCACAAUCAAAUCUCACGCCGCAUUUUUAGUCUCAAUAAUAACUGAAACGAAAAACACGCGCAGCCGAAACGAAGCGCAAACCAAAGAGUAGAGCGAAAGAAGCAAGGAAGGCAAACGGCGAACAAAAACGCAAAACGAAAACGACGACACGUCGUCAAACAUAUACCCCGAAUAAAAUGCUGUGGAUAAGGGGAUU